GAUGAACGCUGGCGGCGUGCCUAAUACAUGCAAGUCGAGCGAACAGAUAAGGAGCUUGCUCCUUUGACGUUAGCGGCGGACGGGUGAGUAACACGUGGGUAACCUACCUAUAAGACUGGGAUAACUUCGGGAAACCGGAGCUAAUACCGGAUAACAUUUGGAACCGCAUGGUUCUAAAGUGAAAGAUGGUUUUGCUAUCACUUAUAGAUGGACCCGCGCCGUAUUAGCUAGUUGGUAAGGUAACGGCUUACCAAGGCAACGAUACGUAGCCGACCUGAGAGGGUGAUAGGCCACCCUGGAACUGAGACACGGUCCAGACUCCUACGGGAGGCAGCAGUAGGGAAUCUUCCGCAAUGGGCGAAAGCCUGACGGAGCAACGCCGCGUGAGUGAUGAAGGGUUUCGGCUCGUAAAACUCUGUUAUUAGGGAAGAACAAACGUGUAAGUAACUGUGCACGUCUUGACGGUACCUAAUCAGAAAGCAACGGCUAACUACGUG
rnacentral:rRNA from 1 species